GGGAGUUAAAGACUCAACAUCUGAAAUUGAGCCAAGGUCAGAAUCCAUUAAGGCUUCUUCCUUGUCCUUCCAUUCUACACAUUUCAACCACUUAGAAUUUGUGAUCAAGACAAGGGAGCUGAUAGAAUCUUCUAUAUGGCUUAGCUCUCCUUCUAUGGCAUUACUUAACAUGUCAUCCUCAUGGUCUUUAUGACUCCUAUGGUAUGAUCGUUUUGAUGGAUUGCUAGGAUCAUCAUGAGACUGAAAAGGAGAGGGAUAAGAGGGAUCUCUGAGGUCAAGGAUGGAUUUAGAAUUUGUGAACAUGGAAGGGGAGCAG
rnacentral:lncRNA from 1 species